GGCACUAUGGCGGAGUGGUUAACGCGAGAGAUUAGAAAUCUCUUCCUCUCUGAGGGCGCAGGUUCGAAUCCUGCUGGUGUCG
rfam:Schizophyllum commune H4-8 unplaced genomic scaffold SCHCOscaffold_1, whole genome shotgun sequence.